UAAAUCCUGAUGUGUUCGUCCUAAUGCCUUAUCGUUUUGACCGACAAGUUAUAAUUACGGGAGUCUGUUUGUCUACCUUUCGAGUAUAAGCCUCCGCUUGAGAGGACAUAUGAGGUUUGUAGCAGGACACCCACCUGCCUAGAGCGGGUUCAAAACAAAGGUUAAAAAGACGGCAUAAUCGGGAUUUAU
rnacentral:other from 1 species